rnacentral:lncRNA from 1 species
AGAGCCUCAGAGCCUCACAGCAGGGUAUUUCUGCUUGUGUUCAAGUCCCAGGCAGGCUCAACUGUCUGGGAAGGAACACAGAGCCUUUGUGGGGAAAGAGUAGUCAGCCUUCAGCACUCCAGGUAGUCUUGAGGCACCUUCCUGGUGAGACAGUCUAGUAGUCUGAGGAACAGCUUGUCCAAAUUACAGAGGUGGAGCCCUGAGGUGCCUCCAAGAGGCACAGGGUUGCCCACCUUUCAUCAGAGCUUCCAGGGCAAGCUAUGGGGUUCCCACAGUGGGCCUGGCGUCUAGCCUGUCUCUACACUACUGGUCACCCGUUCUCCCUCCACCUCAGAUUCAGCAAGGAACUUCCCCUGAUUCUUCUUAAUUACCAGCAGUGAAGACAUUCAAGACGCCGGAGAGCAGAGGUCAAACCCCACCUGUUUUCCUUGCACUUCAUUUUCUGGCAGUUCCCACAAUAGUGUAGAUAAGUUAAAGAUUAAGGCAAUCUUUUCUAAUUAAAGUAAUUAAAAAGC